rnacentral:rRNA from 1 species
UAUGGCGACCGGCGCACGGGUGAGUAACACGUAUCCAACCUGCCGAUGACUCGGGGAUAGCCUUUCGAAAGAAAGAUUAAUACCCGAUGGCAUAGUUCUUCCGCAUGGUAGAACUAUUAAAGAAUUUCGGUCAUCGAUGGGGAUGCGUUCCAUUAGGUUGUUGGCGGGGUAACGGCCCACCUAGUCAACGAUGGAUAGGGGUUCUGAGAGGAAGGUCCCCCACAUUGGAACUGAGACACGGUCCAA